rnacentral:rRNA from 1 species
UACGAAGGGGGCUAGCGUUGCUCGGAAUCACUGGGCGUAAAGGGUGCGUAGGCGGGUCUUUUAAGUCAGGGGUGAAAUCCUGGAGCUCAACUCCAGAACUGCCUUUGAUACUGAAGAUCUUGAGUUCGGGAGAGGUGAGUGGAACUGGCGAGUGUAGAGGUGAAAUUCGUAGAUAUUCGCAAGAACACCAGUGGCGAAGGCGGAGCUCACCUGGCC